rnacentral:rRNA from 1 species
AGAGUUUGAUCCUGGCUCAGAACGAACGCUGGCGGCAUGCCUAACACAUGCAAGUCGAACGAGACCUUCGGGUCUAGUGGCGCACGGGUGCGUAACGCGUGGGAAUCUGCCCUUGGGUUCGGAAUAACUCAGAGAAAUUUGAGCUAAUACCGGAUGAUGACGUAAGUCCAAAGAUUUAUCGCCCAAGGAUGAGCCCGCGUAAGAUUAGCUUGUUGGUAGGGUAACGGCCUACCAAGGCGACGAUCUUUAGCUGGUCUGAGAGGAUGAUCAGCCACACUGGGACUGAGACACGGCCCAGACUCCUACGGGAGGCAGCAGUGGGGAAUAUUGGACAAUGGGCGAAAGCCUGAUCCAGCAAUGCCGCGUGAGUGAUGAAGGCCUUAGGGUUGUAAAGCUCUUUUACCAGGGAUGAUAAUGACAGUACCUGGAGAAUAAGCUCCGGCUAACUCCGUGCCAGCAGCCGCGGUAAUACGGAGGGAGCUAGCGUUGUUCGGAAUCACUGGGCGUAAAGCGUGCGUAGGCGGUGACUCAAGUCAGAGGUGAAAGCCUGGAG